rnacentral:rRNA from 1 species
UACGGGGGGGCAAGCGUUGUCGGAAUUACUGGGCGUAAGGGCUCGUAGGUGGCCAACUAAGUCAGACGUUGAAAUCCCUCGGCUUAACCGGGGGAACUGCGUCUGAUACUGGAUGGCUUGAGUUUGGGAGAGGGAUGCGGAAUUCCAGGUGUAGCGGUGAAAUGCGCAGAUAUCGGGAAGAACACCCGUGGCGCAAGGCGGCUCUCU